UUUCCGUAGGUGAACCUGCGGAAGGAUCAUUAUCAAGAGUCUGCACCAAAAGCCCACUGGUUCUGCCUUUGCGGCGGUGUGCAGCUCAUACCACACCCUUAUCUAUACGUACCCUUUGUUAUUUCCUCGGCGGGGACGCCCGUCGGUAGGAAGUCCAUCAAAACCUAUUGCAUCAGCAUUAAUACUUCUGAGCGUAACCUAAAUUUUUACAACUUUCAACAAUGGAUCUCUUGGUUCUGGCAUCGAUGAAGAACGCAGC
rnacentral:misc_RNA from 1 species